ACCGAGAGGGAGAGGAAUACAAUACUCGUAAGAGGAAUGACUCCAGCCUUUCUUUGUAGGCUUUCGAACCUCUUGGCGCCUAUUA
rnacentral:ncRNA from 1 species